rnacentral:miRNA from 1 species
CAGGAUGCUCAGUUGGAUCUGAAUUUCAGAUCAACAAUGAAUAAUUUUUUAAUAUAAGUAGAUCCCAAAUAUGGAAUGGGACAUACUUAUACUAAAAUAUUAUUCGUUGCUUAUCUGAAAUUCCAAUUUAACUGAGUAUCACGUA